GGCGCGGUAGCUCAGAUGGUUAGAGCGUAGGAUUCAUAACCCUAAGGUCGGGGGUUCGAUUCCCCCCCACGCCA
rnacentral:tRNA from 2 species